rnacentral:misc_RNA from 1 species
UUGAAAUAGCAUGACGAGUUGUCGCUGGCCCUCUUUCGACCGUGCACGCUCCGUCGUUCUUCAUUUCUCCAUCUAUUUGUGCACCUCCUGCGUAUCGGGACUGCUUUGCAAAAAAUCAAUUUGUGGGCUUUCCUUGUCGCUGCCACACAUACACCCAGUGUAGAAGGAAAUGUAAUUAUUGAUGCAUAAUA